rnacentral:rRNA from 1 species
GACGUAGGAUGCAAGCGUUGUCCGGAAUUAUUGGGCGUAAAGAGUUCGUAGGCGGUUGCUUAAGUCUGAUGUUAAAUCCUGGAGCUCAACUCCAGCAUGGCAUUGGAAACUGGGCAGCUAGAGUGUGGUAGAGGUAUCGGGAAUUCCUGGUGUAGCGGUGAAAUGCGUAGAUAUCAGGAGGAACACCGGUGGCGAAAGCGCGAUACUGGGCCAUAACUGACGCUAAGGAACGAAAGCUAGGGUAGCAAAAGGG